AAAUUGAAAAUUAUUGGAGAAAUUGAAACAGGUUGUCAGUUGGACAACUGUUCCCGUAAUAUUGAAUUGUUAGUUGUGGAUAAUGAUACUAUGUCUUCUCCGGUGGUCUUGGAUCGCGAUGCAUUCGCAAUUUUUGAUUUAGUCAUCACUAGACGAUGCAGUCCAGUUGAGGCUUACAAGGAAGAUGAGAGUGAAAUUUUAAAUAAUGAUCUAGACAGUCCUAAUGAGAAGGGCCCGGAGAUAAAUCCCGAUAUUCCAUUCAAGUAUAGGCAACAGUUGAAAGAGUUAUACGAUAAAUACUAUGUUCAGGCACACAGACCUAACGUCCC
rnacentral:lncRNA from 1 species